UUUGGGGAAAGGUUUACUGCCGAAGGAUCGGCCCGCGUCUGAUUAGCUUGUUGGUGGGGUAACGGCCUACCAAGGCGACGAUCAGUAGCUGGUCUGAGAGGAUGAUCAGCCACACUGGGACUGAGACACGGCCCAGACUCCUACGGGAGGCAGCAGUGGGGAAUAUUGGACAAUGGGCGCAAGCCUGAUCCAGCCAUGCCGCGUGAGUGAUGAAGGCCUUAGGGUUGUAAAGCUCUUUUGUCCGGGACGAUAAUGACGGUACCGGAAGAAUAAGCCCCGGCUAACUUCGUGCCAGCAGCCGCGGUAAUACGAAGGGGGCUAGCGUUGCUCGGAAUCACUGGGCGUAAAGGGCGCGUAGGCGGCCGAUUAAGUCGGGGGUGAAAGCCUGUGGCUCAACCACAGAAUUGCCUUCGAUACUGGUUGGCUUGAGACCGGAAGAGGACAGCGGAACUGCGAGUGUAGAGGUGAAAUUCGUAGAUAUUCGCAAGAACACCAGUGGCGAAGGCGGCUGUCUGGUCCGGUUCUGACGCUGAGGCGCGAAAGCGUGGGGAGCAAACAGGAUUAGAUACC
rnacentral:rRNA from 1 species